UAUAUAAAAAAAAUAAUUCAGCUGAAAUAAAUGCAAUCUUAUUCCAUUGACUGACACAAAUUAUAUAGUCUCACAGUUCUAAAUACGCAGCGGAACAAUAAAUAUAAAACAUCAAUUUAAAUAAAGCCUAUUCUAGGAUAAUUUGUGCUUCAGUUCUUCUAGUCGCUCUCCCAUUUUAAAUCCCCGAUAGGUUAGUUCUCGGAAUCUGUAAAACAACAAGAAAUUGUAUAAUGAGCUAGACAGCCCAGUAAGUAAUAAACACCUUACCUAGUCAAUUCAUAUAAUAACAUAAAAUAUAAAUACAAAUUACAAUAAAUCAACAUAAUAACAUAAUCAAUUCCUUUUCAAGCACAAAUUCAUUAAAAUUCGUAUUUUUCAAAUAUCCAUAUACAUAAUCAUAAAUCUGAUUCGAAACAAAUCACAUUCAUCUCAUCAGCCUUUAGCUACGACUACACUUAUACCCUGUGGCUAGGCCAGAAACAGAACCGCACUUAUACCCUGCGGAGUGGGCCAGAAUACCGCACUUAUACCCUACGGUGUGGGCCAGAAUACCACACUUAUACCCUGUGGUGGGGCCAGAAUUGCCAAU
rnacentral:lncRNA from 1 species